CUCAGGGACGUUUGUGUGUCCGGCCGCCUCAAGGGCCUCUCGGCCCCCACGGCAGGCAGCAGGGCUGACGGGCUUCGUCAUUUUAGCAACACCGGGCCUCUACGGGGAUGACACGCCCAUGCCCUUUUAGAACAACUUUAUAAUAACGGGCUUUUUCCGUACCAGCAGCGCCGCUUAGCCCCUGCAUACACCGGACAAGGGAGAAGCGUGAAGGACAAGGAAGCUGGGUGAAUGCACAUAAAAAGCCUUGCGAACAGAAUCCUGUACCACAUCCAUGCCAAUGCUACCAAGCAAAAACUCCUGCAAUACAGCUGUUCAUCCAGAACUUCUCGAAUCGCCAUGGUAGCGUAAGUGGAUGGGGGAAGAGAGAACUCCAUCUUUAGUGCCCUGAAUUUACCAUCUAUUUUGAGGGAUAAGAGAAGACACAAUGGAAGAAAAUGUUAAGGGCACAAGUAACACCGUAUUCCUGCUGCCAUCCAAACUGGACUAAAGAGUUCCACAACCACCUCCCCUCAAACCAAAAAGCAAAAUAACCACCACCACCAUUCUCCAAUUUAAAAUCCAUAGUGAAAUUUCAUAAAACAACUGAUUUUUAACAUUUUCUCUCAGCAGGAAGUAGUGUUUUGGAGGGUUUCUUCUUUAAAAAGCAGAAUAAAUAUCUGUCCUUUCAAAACUGAAUUCCCAGUCUCUCUUCACUUUCUCUGGAGAGCAGUGACAGAAAACCUUGUGACCAGAGUUAUAGCAAAAUAUUUCCAUUCUAUGACAUAUUUGAGUAGUCUCUUGUGUUUAGCACAAACACCACCUUCUCAAGCACAUAGACAAUUUGUGGCUUAAUUCCACCUUCAUGUAUUUUAUAGACAUUUAAUGCUAGGCAUUUGCUCAGUUUUACAGAUAUCUAUAAGAAAAUGUAACAGUCAAUACAAGAAUUAUAUUCAAUGGAAGAAUUGCUUGCAUGCUUAAGAAAUAAGGGUCCUUAUUUAGACACAUAACUCUGGACACCUUUAAUAUCAUUACCUAACAGUCUAGUUAAAUGAAAGCUUUUCCUUAAAAAAAGCUUUCAAUAUUCAUCAGUUCAAAACAACAGCCACAUCAAACUUUUACAAACAUCAGCAGAAAAAACAACUUACCUGUAGGGAGAACUGGUAACGGUUUUCCUUCCAGCUUAUCCAAAUCCGUAGUAAAUAAUGGGAUUUUGGGAUCAUCAUAUGCAACAA